UUUUUUUUUUUUUUUUUUUUUUGGGUCCGUCUUCUUCAACCUCAGAUUCAAUUCUAUGUUCAAGAGAGAACAGGACAACUGCUCUAGUUUCUGAAGCUAGCCAGAUUUAAUUUUUUUUUUUCCCUCAGAAUUCAAAUGGAUCAAAAUAAGUAGACAAAAUCAAAGACAGCAGAAAGAGAAAUGAAUUCCAAACAAAACAGAAAACAGAAGACAAAGAAGUUCUUUGACUCUAACCUUUGAUAUAAGAGAGCUUAAAGCCGAAGGUUGAAUCAAAUUACGAAUGCUGGUGGUUUUAUGAAUCAUCUUGCUCUUCUUUUUGCUCAGUGCAGAACUUCAAAGAAAACCCGUCAGUUGUAUUUCCGGCAAACGUUUAGAAAACGGGUAAAGAUUACAAGUGACUAUUCAGAAGAGGAAGAACAGAAAGAAAGAACAGGGACAGAAAAAUGAAGAUGAUCGAAGAAUUGCAUAUAUUAAUGUUUCAUAAUGAUCACAAGCAGCGGUGCUCACAUAUGCAGGCAUGCAAAUGGGAACUGGCAAGAAAAGGCCAAAGAAUUGGAGAGGUUGAACACGGAACCAUGAGCACUUCGACUGCUAGGAUAUGCAUCAAAGCAAUUGGACAGAUAAAGAAUAGGAACAAUUGUACAAGAACUCCUUUACAUUUCAAGUUAUUCUGUUCUAGUCCCUUAUAUUUAAAUUGACACAUUUUCAUCUGCAACAUAUUGGAAAUGGUGAUAUUUUGAUCCCAAAUUUCAUUUUCACUUGCUUUUGUUCUUGAAAAUUUUUCUUUGAUUUUCUGUACAUUAUGAUGUAUAUUGAAGGGAAAAAUUUAAAAUAGAUGAUUCCUUAUAUUGAGGGACAAAAUUGAAAAUAGACAAUUAUUACGUAAAAUAUAGUAUUUCAUAUUAAGGCCCCAUUUGAUAACUCACUUAAACUUAAUGAAUUCAGAUUUUAAUAUGUUCAGACGCGUUUGAUAACCAAAAAUAAAACAUCUGAAUUAAUUAAGUGGCACCGAAUUUUCUAGACAAAACUUGCCUCCAAGAUUAAGGAAUAAACUAUUCACUUGUCACUAAAUGUGAUAUAUAUUCAAAUAUAUUACUGAAUUCAGAAUUUAGAUUUCAAAUUUCAGAAUUUAGUUUUCAAACUUCAGUUUUAUCAAACGCAUCCUAAGUUAACAAAUCCUGUUUGGUGAAGAAGGAAGAAGCCACAACAAUUACACCAAGCAUGGGAUAAGAAGUUACACACUUCCUGUUUUUGUCCCUAAAGAAAUUUGACCGGAAAUAGAAUUCGGGCUUAUAAUUGAGAUACACUUUGAAUAGGUUAGGGUUCAAAAUGUAUAAUUUAAAUGUGAAGGACUAGACGAUGAUAUUUUGUGAAUGGAGGGUUUGAUUUGUGCAAAACUCCCAAGAAAAUUUAAUACCAUCUAGUUUUGAUUUUAAACGGAGAGGCAUAGUGUGUGAGUGCACAUGCGUAGCAUGAGUGAAUCCAGGCCGACAAUUCCACGUCAGUCACCUCCGAGCGAUGAUGAUUCCUUCUCACCUACCCUUCAUUUUCCUUUCGUGACAAAAAAGGAAAGAAACAUAUGUAUUACUAUAAAAUAAGAGAAAUGCUUGUUAAUCGCACAUUCACGAUCAAUUUUAUAAUGCAAUUUUUUAUUUAUUAGACUAUAUGAUAAAAGAAAUUACUGAAGUGCGAUUAAUAAAGACUGGAAUGCGAUUCAUGAUUUUCUACAAUAAUUAGUCAUAGUUUAAUUACUUGUGUUAUGUUGUGAAGGCUUUGGUUCAUGAAAGACACAAAUAAACUUUUUAACUUUUUAUACUCCCUCCGUCCCACUUUGAUAGUUCUGUUUUCCUUUUUCGUCUGUCCCAAAUUGUAGUCCACUUUCCAAUUGAAAAAUGUAGUUGUAUUUUAAUUUUCCUAAAAUACCCUUAUUCAAUGUAAGUUGUUGUUACUAUAAACCAAUCCCAUUUAAUGAGAAUUGAUUCUUUUUUUAUCAUCAAUUCAAGUUCUCAUAAGGUUGUACUCUAAUUAAUGUGAGUUAUUUUAGGAAAAUGGCUACCUAAAUUGAUUGUUCCAACAAAGUUAACUACUUUUUAUUAAACUGUGUGAAAAAAGAAUCAGGACUAUCAAAGUGGGACGGAGGGAGUAGCAUUGAAUUUGGAUUCUAUCAGAUAGGCUCUCAUAGUGUGGUAACAAGUAUAUCCAAUUAAUCAUUGUAUCGUGCUCCUUGGAUUUAUUCAUGUUCCUGAUUUAUGUUUUCCAAAAAACUAUCCUAUGAGACAAUACUUGUUGGAUUAACCCAUUGUAUGCUGCCUUAUUUGGAUUCAGUUGAGAUCCUCUGUGUCACUGUUUCAUACCAAAUUUAAUGUCAAUCCCAUUUAUCACGCUAAGGAUAGAAGAAACUUAAAUAAAUAACAUAUGACAAGUUAAAUAAAUAGGUCACUUGAUAUAAAUAUAGAAGUGACGCAGAAUUAUCACCACAAAAGUAGCACCGAGGAUCCCAUGUAAUUUGGAUUACCAUUUUUUUUUUUAAUUUUUUUUUAAAUUUUUAAAUUUUUUUUUAUUUCACAUAAACAAAUUGCUACUGUUCAUAUUUCUAUAAAAAUUUCAGAAAAUAGCAAUUCAAACGGGAAUUUAAAUGUGCCAGCUAACAUUGUGGGGCCAAAUCUGCACGAUUUUGAUAGUUAUGGCAGUCUACUCACAGAAUUUCUCCUCAGCUAAAAUGACAUGAGACCAGUCUUCGGGAACGUGAUUUUUUUUUCCUUGUUCAAAGUUAACCGACGCCCUUGCUCCAAAUUAAAGUGAUAGGACUAAAUCAAUUUAAUAAUUAAAGUUAAGAGAUAAGGUUGUCCCAAAUUAAAGUGGUAGGACCAAAUGUAGUUCAAAUUUUUUUUUUUAAAGAAAAAAUUUGGAUGGAAGACUAUUUGAGUCAUUUGCCCUAAAAAAAUAUCAAUCUAUGAAAUUGAUUUUUGAAUUUUCAAAAAAUCAAGGAACAAUUUUGGUCAAAUCUACUCGAGAACAUGGCCUGGAGGUUGGGAAGGUGUACCAAGUCGAUUUUUUAAAAAAAAAUUAAAUUUUCCCCCUCAUCCUGCCAAACGAUACCAACUUAAUUGAGAGAAAGUAUGCCCCACUACUAUUUUAAAUGAGGCAUAAAAUACACUAUUUCAUUGGAUUUUUUUUCUUGUUUAAAUAGAAUUAGAAAGAUCUGUUAACGGUAGGUGCAAUACAAACAAUCUACAAUUACAAUAUUACAGAACGUACAAAUGGUUCUGCACUUAUUGAUUUCUGUCAGCAGGUUGUUCGCUUUCAAACAACAACGCAUCAAUGGUAGUUAGUGGCGCUGAUUAUAAUCAAUUUAAUCAAGUAAACAAUCUUUUGUAGGCGUGCAAGUCUAUCAUACCCAAAAAUUGUACAACCAAGGAUGCAUUUGAGAGGAGUUGAGACUUCGAGUAAUGCAUUACUUGAGCUCGAUUCGAGAUAAAAUAAUUGAGUUGAAACUCAACCUCAAACUCGACUUCAAUGUAUCUUAAUUGGAUUUGAGUUUAAUUAAAUCCAAUCUAAGUCUAAUCAAACUCACCUAAUAAAAAUUAAUACUUUACAUAUAAUUUUAAAUAAAGGAUAUAAUUGAUAUUUCACAAUAAUAAAUAUAUAAGAUUAAAAAAAAAUAUACUAUAAAAAAACUUGAUUAGGCUUGUUGAGCCUCCGAGUACAAGAAUUUGGAACUUGAACUCGACUCAUGAACUCAAACGAGCAGCUUGAACUCAAGUUCGAGUUCAAUCAAAGCGACCUCGAACCAACCUGUUGACUGAGUAGAUUGUGACUUCGAAUUGAGCUAGUUGAUUCAGCAUCACCUCUAAUAUAACCAAAGACAAUCAACUACAUAAAACAAAUGAAAUGGUUGAUUGUCAUGAAAAUAAAAAUUGGGAUCUACAAAGAAAAUUUUGUAGAAUUUUUAUCAGCUUAAAGUUAUGAAAAUAACUUCUUUCCUCAUUUUCGUUUUCACUCCUCCAACAAGAUGUACAAUUCAGUCCAAGGCACAACCGUGCUCCUUCUAUGCAAGCAUCCUUUUUUUUUUGGGUCGUUAAUAAUAGAUUUCUGCCAAUCCGCAGGGUAGCAGCUGCUACCCAAAUUUUGAUGUUAGUCCUCAUCCGUUAAAAGAGCGAAUUUACAUGAGGCAGUGUUGGUCCACAGAGUUACCCUAUGUUAGCCUCAGGCCCAACAUUCAACUGUAUGAUGGAUUGUCAGUGGACCACUCCUGGUGGAGACUGGUCUGACAAAAUUGGGACCGAGCGGCUCUAUUAUUGGACCAACAGAGCUGAAACCCAAAUAUACACCACAAUUCAGUCGUCAUCUGUGUCUGGGCUUCAAUAGGCUAAGUUUUGAUUAAACCCUGGUUUGGAAUUAUUAUGUUUAAAUUUUAAAAUUAAUAGAUAAUUGUAGAAUGGUGUAUAAUGUUAAUAUAUAUUAUAUUAUAUUAUAGGUUAAGUCGGAAAUAGAUCCAGAACCUACAGGUCUUUAUAAGUCGAGUAUGGAACUUACAAAAUGGCCUCUAGCUCGUGCCAAAAGAUUCUAUUUGUUUUUUGAGUCGAAAUUAUAUGUUUAUCAAAACUCAAUUCAAGAAACCCAAUUGGCAACCUUAUUUGUGUAAUUAGUGAAUUCCACCACAAAACUCUUGCAAACCAUAUAUGUUGUGACAAUAAUGGUCUUUAGGUAAGAUUAAGCCUAAAUUUAUGAGUCCAAGUUGAAUUCAAAUAGUUCUAGUGGACCACUCAACCUCAUUUUGAGUUAAAAUGCUUGAACUCGAGGUCGAACUCGUUGAACUAUUCAAUUUUACCUUAAUCUAACUCAAACUCAAAUAGAUCUAAUUAAAUCAAGGUCAAUCGAGUUUAAAUGUUAUAAUAAUGUUUUAUAUAAUUUUAAAUAAGGAACAAGAUAGACAAAUCCCCUACCUUUCCCUACUUCUUAAAUCCCACCCUUCCCCUACUGAAAUUUUUUUAAAAUUAAAAAUACAUGCUCCCUCCAUCCCAAUAUUGAAGUCUACACAUGCAUCUAUUGAAUUUAAAAUAUUUCCAUGUUAAAUGUGUAUUGAGAUUUUAAAAAGUUGCUUUGUUCAAAUGAGAAGAUUGGAAAGCAUGUAUUGAAUUUGAAAUGGUAAUUCUUAUUUUGAGACACUCAACUCGAACUCCAUCAAUGCAAAGUUCGAGAUCGAAUUUUGAUAAAGUAGACUCGUAAAUUAAUCUCGACUCUUCUGCAGCGCAUGUCUGAUUAAACUAGUAUCUUCGAACUCAUUUAUAUUUUGUUAAACUUUUUUUUCCCAAUAAAUUUCAUUUCACUUCUUGGCGAAUUUUUGUGCCUCGAAACUUUUACUAGAAUAGGGCAUCAUGCUUCGUUGAAUGGAAAAUGUUUUAGUCCAAAACCUACAACCUGGAAUGCAAACAAGUACACAGGUAUAAAAGGUUACAAUAUCCCAUCCAUAUAGUUUUGUAACGGGGACUUCUGCAUGCAACAUAGUAGUAUAUUAAGUCAACAAGGAGGUGUGAAGCAGAAAUUGCUCUCAAAAGAACAAUACCGAAAUAACGGUGGCUUUAUUUUCAUAGCUCUGCCAAUUAGGUACAGACUUUUUUGGAUGCGGAUUUUGAAAGGCCAAGUGAAAUGCAAAUUGGUGACCAGGAAAAGCCAAAGACGAGAGGAUUUUCUCAAAGAAUAGUACAAUAGGAGGAGGAGGAGGAGGAGGAAUUUUCAGAACCACCAUUGGCUUUAACUCCCGGCCAAUCCUUGCACUGACAGUGUUUGCCUUGCGGAAUUCUUGCAUACACAGAUGCUACAUGCUUCCCGCAGCCAACCCAAGUGGUCUUACCACAUCUCGAGCACUUGUCUUCGUAGCACAUUUUCUUCUUCUUUUCGGCCUUCGUAAUCAAUCAAUCAAAUCAAAUCUGCCUGCCCCUUUGCUCUUUUGUUUUCGGUGUUAAUAUGUAGUGCAAGUUUGCUUAUGAAGCAAUGAUUUAAUUUAUAGAGUAAUUGGUACUUUUAAAAUCAUCCAUCCAUCCAUCCAUCCUAGAACAUAACGAGAUGGUAGCUAGGAAAACAUUUCCCGUCGAUGCCACCGACAAUCAUUCGACAUUUCGUGACUGACAAUAUUAUUAUUAUUCCAAAAGAUAUUCCAACUUUGGUACAAACCUACGACGAUAACUAAGAAUGCCUCGUGAUCAAGUUUGAAGGCGUCAUUAUCAUACGCCCUGGAGCAACUUUCGUCAGUCUGGGCCUCCGAUUUCAAGAAGCACGGGUGAAUUGGGCCAGCAUGUCAGAGUAAUGGAUCGUAUGCCAAUGCCCAAUUUGUAUAGGACUGUAUAUGUGUAUAUAUGCCCCGAUCUCAUAUGUUUCCCUAUCUCUCUUCCCCUCAAACAUUUAAUGGAGAAUAAUAAUAAUUUAAGGUUUCGAGUCCAAAGAGGGAAAAUAGGUUUAGAGUGUCUCUUUGAACCGAAAAAAAUAAUGAUCAACAACUUGAUCCGACUGACUUUUGAUACGACCCCACGGGCCACUUCAACAUAGAAAAAUUAGUAGGAAAAAAAAUGAGAGAGUUCGACUGUUAGAUAUUUUUUAUUUAUAUAUAUAUAUAAAAUCAAUGCUAUAUAUAUAUAUAUAUAUAUAUAUAUAUAGCAUUAAGAACAUAUCUACAUUAAGAACAUUGUAAUAAGUAUAUCGAAAGUGUGGUAAGUACAUUAAUCAAUGUAUAUAUAUAUAUCUAGAGUUUUUAUAUAAAAAAUCACUUCAAUAUAUAUAUAUAUUAAGAACAUAUCUAGAGUUUUUAUAUAUAUAUAUAUAUAUUUUUGUUCCUAUUUAUACUUAAUUUUAAUCACUUAAGCAAUUAAUGUUAGUAAAACCACUACUCUUUAAUGGAGGACCUGCUAUUGUUUUCAAUUUGUCAACCUCACCUCAAUUAAUUUUGAAGUAUCUUAUGUUAUAAAAAGGAACACCAACGACAUAGCCUAAACCUCUCAACAUGACAAUACAUUGAAAGUUUUAGAAUAACGGCCUAUGUGUUGUGGGGAGCAUGCAUUUAUCAGGCUAUUCAAUUGGGUUUUACAGUAAAGUAAAUGCUAAAGUCAUAUCAUAUAUGGGAGUUGUGAUUCCAAAGUUUCGGCAACUUUUAGAUGUCGGCUUGGUGAUGACCAGUGCAAAUCGUUGAAGAUAAAUGUUGAAUAAGAAUUUCGAACCUAAGAUGACGGCCAAGAAUAAUCAAUAAUAGCCAAAUAGUACAUGUUUUGUACAAUGACAUGAAUUAGUUGGAAUUUUGGGUAGGUAAUAUGAAUUGGCAUUUUGGUUUCUGAGAAUCAAACAUUAUGAAUUAUCCCACAGUCAUGACUUCUAUCAAACGAUAACAUAUUCUCUCUGCUGAUGAUUAGUAGGGGCAUCUAUAUCUCUUCUAGAAAAGUGGUUAAUUAUGUAUACAUGUUAUUGCGUCGUGAGAGCCUUUUUGGGAAGAGUAUUAUCUUAUCUUGUCAAGGGGAAAGGCUAAUCAACUAUUAAUUAGGUGCGACACUCUAGAAAACAAAUAUUUUACCACGUAUCGUAUUGUUGUGGCAAAAGUUCGUUUCACAUAUAGAUGAGUAAGUUUUUUUUUUUUUUUUUAAUGUAAUGUCACUAUAUAAUUUUUUUAAUAUAUAAAUAGAUUUAGAUCAUAUCACAUAAUAUCAAUUCAAAUUCGAAAUUCAAAUCAUGCACGUUGACAUACAUUCAUAACUGUCAUUGUAAAAAGAUCACUACACUACACUGUCAGUGUAUAAAAAGUUACUUCUAUAUAUACACUGAAAUGACAUCAAUUAUUCCACAAGCUAGCCGGCACAUCAAAAACUCAUGAAACAGGAAAUUAAGUACCUUAAGAAAAACUUUUAAUACAUGUCUCUAGAUGUUUAAGAAAUCAUAAACGGCUGCAAUUGCAUGCAUGCUCAAUCAAGAGGUGGAUUAGUGGUGCAUCUAUCUUUCGCAAAAUUCUUUAUGAAAGUUUGACUUUGUAAUAGUAUAUUGCAUUCAAUCAACCGAAUUUCAAGUUGCGAGUUGAUAAGUGCAGGUGUAGACGGUUCAAUUUUUCUCAAGAAUCUAAAAGAUGCCAAGAGCUGAUACAGUAUUCUGGAUCCUCUCACAAUGUCUGCUUAACUUGAAACGUGGAACAUCAAAGAUUCUAGAUACUCGUGAUUUUCCAAUCAUAUAGAUAUGUGGCUCGAAUCCACUUGUGUGCCGAAUGAUUCUCUGAAGUCAGUCUGAUUAACCGAGUGUGGCUGAUUUCUUUAUCAUCAUCAAAUCAUAUCAUGAGGAGGUCAAAAUCAAAAAGGCGCAUUGUCUAGUAGCUAAAGCAAACAUAUUCUUCAUUCCUCAGUAAUGUAUCCUCAAGCUGCGUUCACACUUCACACUGCAUACAUUAAUCCCUUUUGCUUUAGAGCAAAGCUUCUAGACGUACGUACAUAAUUAUCAGAUCCAGAGAUACACAUAAAGACAGAACAGGCCAAAGGAAUAUAUCGGACUUGAGGUAGGUAUGGCUGUCUUGUGUCUUCUGGUUCAGUGUUAUACAUACAUCAUCUACAUACAUAUCGCACAUAACUAGGUCAUGAAACCAUAGUCGUACCUGCUGCCCUAACUCCAAACAUAUCAAUAUCCAAAUAUUCACAUCAAAAUAUGGUCCCGAAACCUUUUGCUUUAAUUUCUUUCUUCUUCCUUGUAUCUUUGAUCUUCGGACUAAGGGGUGAAACCAAAAGGGUUGAAGCAUGCUUUACCCAUACAAGACUGCUAUCAUGCACGUAUCAUCCCACAGGACAUGUAGUUUCUGGCUUCCGAAUUCCAAGUUCCAGCAAUCAAAUAUGGGGUUUAUGGAAGGUUGGGGCCCCUGUGCCAUAUCUUCGAGACACUAAACCACCCGAUUUGGCAGCAGCACAAUAACCCUUUGCUCUCUCCAGGACCAACAGGACAUGUCACCCUAAGCUUGCUACAUAUAUUACAUUACACCAUACUUAGUGAGGAUAUGAUUGUCACUGAUUUUUCUCAUCCGUAUUGGUUGUGGGCCAAAUCCACUUAAAUAAUUAAUCACUAUUUUUUUAGCCUUUCAAUGAAGAGUGAGCUGACACUCAAUCACGAGGAGGUUUAUUCAUGAAUUUCCCACGAACUUUCAUGGAGUUCAACUUUUUUAAAUUUGUGUUAUGAUGUCUCCAUAGAGUGGAAGACAAUCUCUGUGGGGUAGAGUAGGUUUUACUUUUUCACAAAGUCGGUGUCUUGCUGAUGCUUUCUCUUGGAAAUAAUAAUGAAAUCAAGGAAGGUAUCUCAUUUCUCAUAUCAGAUAGAAUGUAGCUCUGACUAGACAUUUUUUGUCUAGAUGGAGCUUAUUCCAUCUUUUGUGAGUCUUACAUUCAGCAUUUCUAUGAUUGUGGAGAGAAAUUUGUUUCACUAAUUCUUUCUUUACAUCUAGUCAGUGGAGUUAAAUCCAUGGUGAUUAAGGUAUAAACUUUCACAUUGAAAAAUUGCGAAAAUGGCUGUCAUUUUUAUUGAUUCGUGAUACACUCACGUGCAUAAAUUGACGCUCAAUAAUAUAAAUUAAGAUGCCGACAAAGCAAAAAUUAGAACUUGUAUGCAUAAUGCCUUCAAAAACCUAAAGAGCUUGCAAAAAUGGCUGCCUCAAUAUUUAGUUCAAAGGGUUCUUCUGUUAUUUACUCAGGAUAAGAGAUGGAUCCAGUAUUUAGUUGUCUGCUAAAACUUAAUUUUUUUUUUUUUGGCUAAAGCUCUCUCAAUUCAAGGGGUGAAUGAUAAUGUUUAAAAUUUAUUGUGGGCACACCCUCUAUAUUUUGUGCACUUAUCCUGAGCUCUAAGCAUACAAAAUAGAAAAACCCUAUUUCAAGUAAAUGAUUUCCGAUUCAAGCUUCACGAAUUAAUAAUAUAUCUCUCGACACUUCAUGUUACAUUAAAAUAUUCAAUUUUCAUCUUAGCUAUUAGUAAGGCAGAAAAAAUAAGAAAAAACCUUGGAGUUUGGCACUGCUGCUACUGUAUGAUUUUUUAGUUUCUGAAAUAUUUUCUUAACAUGUAUAUUUCAAUUCUCUUCUUCAUCUCACAUACAUCGCAUCGCAUCGAUGCAUUAUGAUUUUCUUUAAAAUAAAAAACUCCCAUAAACUCCAAUCCAAACGGGACAUUAGCAUUGCAUGGUGCGAUUGGCUAUAGGCUAAGUUACAGCAUUAUUAUUAUUAACUUGUAUAAAGCGGAAAGUGGGAUGCACAAAAGCCAAACAAAGAGCACAAAAUCACACCAGCAGUAGCAGUGGUCGUCUGGCCGUAAAGCCCGGAACACAAUUUGAAACCUUAUCUCCAACAUCAUCCCCACCCAUCAUUGCCAACUUGUACGCUCAAUAAUCGUCCUCCUGAUUCCUCAAGAAUCAAAUGCCCAUGAUGCCAAAUCAUUGGUGGGCUCUACAUGCUGCUCUGAGGCUUGUCCUCUCAGCAUCAGCAUUUGCUGUCCACGUGUCAAGCAGAGAGGCUUGACACGUAUACGCAGGCCCACCGCCCAUACACAACAUAAAUGGGAAAAGAAUUUGCAUGCACAUAAUGGCAUGCAUUAUGAGGAGGAGAUUACAGAAGAACAUCUUUUUGAAGUUAGGGAUAUAUACUUACUAUAAAGGAGUAAUCAGAUUUCUGCUGCUUUUGCUGUUUGUUUAAAUUAAUUGUCCUUAAUUUGGCUUGGCUAAGGUGGGAUUAAGGAAAGAUGGGUUUACAUUACAAGCAUGAUGAUUAGCUUUGGUAUUUGAUUAUUCUGAAAUCACUUACAAACGUUCGAUUUUAUCCACUCUUGUCGAAGUCAAAUGUCUAUCUAUUGACCACGUAAGGCAAACUUGUUAGUUAAGCUCUGGAUAACUCUAUUUACCUUAAUUUAAUGGUGCUCGACAGCUUUUCAUGGCCUAAUGUCCUGACCUCAUCUCUUCUACUUUUCAUCUUGUCCGCGUUCUUUACAAUUUUUUUUUUACUGUUAAACCAUUUGAAAAAGAACAAUUAUUGUCAAGACAAAAUAUAUGAUUCUGCAAUUCUGUAUAGAUCAAUGGUUGCAAAAGCCUCCAAGACAUGACCAUGAUUGCAUUAUCCCGAUCAAUGCUGAAUUAUAACUAGUGGAUGGAAAUAAAUCGUCGGUGAUGGAUAAGCCGUGACAGAUUAAGCAUAUACCUCAUUCGGUAAUUAUCUUCAUGGCAAAAGAUGUUCGUGAAAAUUCAGGUUCUCUUGUAACUUGCCAUUCAGAAAUAUGCUUUGUUAAAAGAGUAUGUGACAAAGACAAAUGUUGCACCGCAUUUAAUCUCAAGAUCUACUUACGUCUCAGCGAAGUAAUUGAUCUUGGAUUUAAUGAAAGGGUGGGCGGGCUACAAGAACUGAGAUAUAUCAAGCGUAGAACUACAGGUUAUUUAAUUAAAAAUAUACAUAUUUAGUAAAUCUUUUUUGGCUUGCAUUCAAUAGGUAGAAAUUGGUAUAUAUGUAAUCAAUCAAACACGACCUAAGAAUAAGAUAGUAUGGUCUUAAAGAAAAAGGGUUAUAAAGUCGUAAAACUCGAUGAAUUGAUUAAUCUUUCUUACGCACAAGUCUGAUCACUGACAAGAUUAAAUGAAUACCAUAUCAUAUUAGUUCGAAUUUUGAAUUCUAAAAUUUAUAAAAGUCACAAGCAUGUAGAUCUACUAGUGUAUACAUUGAAAGGAUUUACCCUAAAACUUAUGAUUAGAGUAAACUGGUUCUGUCCAAACCUGUCAGUUGGUGUACCCGAAAACUUAAAGCAGAAAAGGAGAAGUACAUGAAAAGUGGCUAAUUAAAUUAACCUUUAGAAAGCUGCCGUUGCCUGAGCUGAACAAUAAAAAAAAAAAACGAAUUAGGGUACUUCAGCUGUUACGUGGGAUUCAGUCCUGGAGGAUAAUCUCAUCGCAUAAGAACAAUACAAAUCUGCUAUUCAAUAGACGCCAUGUUUGUUCAAACAGAGAUUUAUUAAUGGGGCACGGUCCUUGAAUCGGUCGAUUGAUUUGUUUAAUCAAUAAUUGAAUAAAGAUAAUUAGCUAUAAUAGUGCAUGUAGGGUAUGCUACAUAUAGCUCCGGGAAGCAACCUACUCGAAUCAAAGUUAGAAAAUUAUAACAACCUAUGCAUGGGAUGGGAUGUCACUAUGAUUCACAUCCAAUUCAAUCUGAUGAAGCUGGAUUUUUAUACUAAUAAUAAUAAUAAUUAAUGCCGGAAAUCAAAUAAUUUACUAUUAAUUAGUAGUACUUAAAGAUGGACAUUUGCCAGACCAAUUCAUUUGGGUCCUAUUAAUUGCACAAGGUAAAAGCAUAUAAUUAAUUUCAAGCCAACUUAUAACUAAUUUACAUAUCAGUAGUGAUUAUUGGACUAAAUUCACACUACUCCAUUUUAAUUUCACACCUUUAACGUAUCAACAUGCAACUUCUACGAUUAGUAUUAAAACGUUUGUGAAUUUAAAAUGAGGGGUGUGAAUUUAGCCCUUCUCAGUUAAAAAUAUAAUGAAACGGAACUUUCUUGUUUGAGUAGGAUUACACAUUUUGGAACAGGAACUGCACAGGAUAUACCAACGACAAGAAGUCUAGAAUGUGUACUAAAGUUGCUGCAAACAUAUAUAAUUCACAAGCAAAGGGAAAAGUUGUAUGCCCUACUUCAAUUGUCUCCUAUUCUUCCAUUACCAGUAUUAAAUGUAAACACUAAAGGUAAAGGUGGCGAACCAUUCUCUUCCCUUGUGUUCUUGUGUGCACCCACUUUUUUACGUGAUUCCACGUACCACGAAUGUCAUCUUCUCUACAUACAUCAUCUUAUUACAAGAUAGAUUGGUUUGAUGCAGACUUCAACAGAGAGCGCAAGAGAGGGGGAAAGGGGAAAGAGGAGGUGGGGAGGAUAUGGUUCUCUUAUUUAGUCAACCUAAGAAGACAAAGGGAGAUGGUGAUUUUCAUAAUGUCAGAGUCUAGAUUCGUUUUCUCUACUCAUUCCUUCCUUUGAUUAAUAAGCAAAUAAGGCUAUCCCUCCACUGCCCUCCAUAAAAAAACUUCAUAUAUUCGAUUCUCCUCCACUGAUAUCAGCAACCAAACCACCCCCCUUGUUUAUAUAUCUCACCCCCGUGUUGCAAUUUGACCUCAAAUAUCUUUCAAUAAACCAUGGUAUUUGAUAUCAAUAUUUGCAACACCAGACUUAGUCUUGGCCUAGGCUCCACCUUUACUACCAGAAAUAAUGAUCAAAAUCAUCUUCCUCAGUUUGAUCAUCAUGAAGAGUUCAAGAAUAAAUCAUCACCCAAAAUUGAUCACUUUUCUCUGACUUUAGGCUUGCCAUCAGAGCUUGAAACCAUUAGUGUUGAUGCUGGUGCCAAAGGUGAUCAAUCUUGUAAUAUACAUGGACAGCAGGCCUCAUCAGUUAGUGCGGUUUCAUCAUUUUCCAAUUCCAGUGUCAAAAGGGAAAGGGAGGCUAGCGUUGAAGAAGUAGAGGAAGAACGAGUUUCUCCAAAGAUUUGUGAAGAUCAAGACGAAGAGGGUCCGAGGAAAAAACUUAGAUUGACAAAAGAACAGUCUCUUAUUUUAGAAGACAGUUUCAAAGAGCACAGCACUCUCAAUCCUGUAAUUUUCUUUCGAACUCUCUCCUUUUUCUCCAUUUAUCGGUAUUUAUAUUUGGGAUUAGUCUUUAAAGGUGAAACCUUCUGAUAUGGAACCAUCUUUACAUUUUUUAACCAGAAACAAAAGCAAGCCUUAGCAAAUAGGUUGAAUUUACGGCCACGACAGGUAGAAGUGUGGUUCCAGAACAGAAGAGCCAGGUAUUUCCUCGUUAACUUCCUCUAAUCUAAUCAUUUCAUUUUUUUUUUUUUUGUUAAAUGAAAGAAAAAUGGUUGAGAUGAAUUUUACCAAAGAGAGAAAAAAAUCCCUUGACCGGAUUUUCUUUUUUCUGUUUAAUCUGCAAACAGGACGAAGCUGAAACAAACGGAAGUGGACUGUGAGUUAUUAAAGAAAUGUUGUGAGACACUAAAAGAAGAGAAUAGAAGACUAAACAAAGAAUUGCAAGAGCUAAAAGCAAUGAAGCUGGCGGCGCCACCGCCGUUGUACAUGCAGAUACCGGCAGCCACUCUUAGCAUGUGCCCAUCUUGUGAGAGGAUAAGCAGUGGUGGUCAUGUUGGUGAGAAGUCUUCUAAAAUUUCUUUCUCCAUCGGAGCGAAGCCUCGCUAUUAUAGCCCCUUUGCCAAUCAUCCCUCUGCAGCUUGCUAGACAACUCAGUUAAUUAGUCACUUAGGCUCCAAUAUUAUUUGGCCAAUACUCAUAUAUUAAAUAGAUUGUAUAUCCUUUGUGCCUAUGUGAAAAUGUGUGAAAAUUGAGUUGUCUCUUUCCCUUCAACCUUACCGGAGCUUUUGUACAUAACAUAUAUUUGUGAAUUUUUUUUCCAUUAGUAGUUUACUUAUGGUUAUGGUUCCUUUAACCAUGAUGGAUUAGAUCAGGAUUCCAAUUCAUUUUUUUACGUAUAAAUGGGGUUUUUCUUUCUUAAGAAAUAUUAGGACUAAAACAAUUGUAAUUCCGGAUCAAGACGUACGGGAGAAUUUUUCAUCAGGCGGAUUUGCAACUGCAACUUCAUUAAAUAUGCGAGUAAUUUUUAAGAUGAUUCUCGAUGUAAUCAUGCCUCGGGAAUGAAUUUUCCCAAUUUAUAAAGAUUAUCAUGUGCUUCUUUUUCAAUUUAUUUGCAUUUGGCCGUAUCUACGUAGCAAUUUGUUGGAUUGAGGAUUAUCUGCAAAACAUUUUUUUUCGCUUGUAUAAUAAUUAAGUUUUUUUAAAUCCUUUUUCAUUUCAAAUACAUUACAUCACAAAAUUAUUUCAAAAUUAUUUUUUCCAAAUAAUCUCCUGUCGCGGAAUUUGAAGAUGGACAUUGGUCAGGAAAUCUAUAUAUGCAACAGCCCUCCUAUGGGAACAACAUGUCAACAACACUAAUGUUUCAAGCAAAUCCACACUUCUUCUAUGCUAGAGAAAUCCCUUAUUUUCUUGGGGUAGCAUUUUUGGCUCAAAGAUGUCGGUAUGAUUUUGUUCAAAGCAUCGAUCUUUAGGCUACCAUCUUUUUGAGCAUGCACAUAGUGGUUUGUGGAUUGCUAGGGUUGUUGAAAUUAUAUCGUGAGGCUACCUAUCUUUUCUAAAUCUUUGUCCUUCUCUAACCUGUCUUUAAUAUUCGAAAACUUAAUUAUUUGCUGUAUCGAAUAAUAGAAAUAGAGGUCCUCAUAAUGGAUUUACAACUUUAAGUGUGGUAAUUAGUACUUGCUUCUGAUUUGAUCUCAGGAUGUAUAGAUGUCAUCUGCAAUUAUUUUGCUUUGCAGAUUGUUUAAUUAUCUGACGAUGAGACAUUUUUUUUUUUACCGUCCACAACUGCAUGCCUAAAAGAUACAUGUGAUUUAUCACAAUUCAGAAGCAUCCAGAUUUUAAGUCAUAUCCUGCAGUGGAAAAUCUUUGACAAAUGCUUUUGGUGUUUUAUUUGGAAAUCUCUUCUGCACCGCUACUAAAUAUCUAAUUAAUAGUAAACAGAUGAGACCCUGACGAGGAACUAUAAUACCAAUAGGCAAUAACAAAAGAUAUGAUUUCAGUACUACUGUCUGCAAGAUAUCACCUCUCCAAGUUUUCUUUCUUGGAACCUAGGAACUAGUAUUCCAAAAUUUUGUUGCCCUCGAGAAGUUAAUUGGCAAAAAAAAAAAAAAAUCAAAUUCCUAAUUUGUCUUUGGAUUAAUUUGAACUCUAAAGUUAUGUGGUGAUUUAGUGGAAUACCUGAAUAGCUCCCAAUUUCCAACUGAUUAUUGUAUAAGAAUGUUUGGAAAUUUUUUUUUUUUUGAAAUAACAUUGCAGUACUUUUUGUAAUAUGAUAUAUGUGAGAUAAAAUAGUAAUUUUGAACAUAAAAAAAUUAUUGAAAAUUAUAUUUAUGAUACAAAUAAAAUAAUUUUUACAUAAAAAAAGUGGGAAUCCAAACACUUGAAUUUUUUGGGGCAAGUUGUGUAGAAAAUCCAAUAUGAUAAUCAUGCAACUUGGUAGCAUAUGCUUGGAUGUUGAGAAUUAAUUCAAUCUACAACUUGAUGGAGAUGAUAUUCCUAUCUAGUACCUCCUCAUUCAUGCUCUCAAAUAAUGUACUAUUUUUCUAGCAAAUGUCCAUCUAAGUCGUCAUAUCGUGUUAGCACCAAACUAACAUUGUUAACAAUCAUAGAGCCUGUCUUUUUAGGUGAUCAUUAUCAUUUUAUCACCAAACUUUUCGUCAUCAUCCACGUCCAAAUGUGUCUGUUUACAUCCGGCAAUUGCACGCCUCAAUAUAAAACAAAUUUCUCAAGUAAACUGAAAAAACCUUAACUUUAAUCACAUAAAUGUUUUUGUUCUCAAUUCUUACUUGUGUAUUAGGGAAAUGAUUAAGUUUUAUGGUGCUAGUUGAUGAAGACAAAAAAUAAUCCAUAAAGAAGUAAUAAAAAUCUUCUUAGAUAUGUUCUUUGUUAUCUGUGUAUGAUUCAUGAUGUAACUUUGGCCAUUAGUGCGGAUAUUAAUGAAAUUAUGAUGUUCAUUAAAAAAAAAGUUGAUGAACACAAAAGUCUUGUUUGAUAAACACAAAAGCGGAUAUUAAUGAAAUUAUGACGUUCAUUAAAAAAAAAGUUGAUGAACACAAAAGCCUUGUUUGAUAAUCCAAUACUUAAAUUUCAAAUCUUAUUUAAAAGUAUUUGUUAAUCAAAAAUAGAACAUCUGAAUUAAUGUAACACUGAAUUCUCUAGGUCAAAUUUAUUCCAAAAACUAAGUAAUAAAUAUAUUCACUUAUCACUUAAUAUGAUAUACACUCAAAUAUAUUAAAUUUUUUAAUACUUAACAAUUCAGAAUGGAUUCAAAUUUUGCAAUUUCAAUUUUAUCAAACGCACCUAACGUGUGCUUAUAUAAAUUGACAUCCCACUUGAACAUAAUUAACUGUAACAUGAAAGGCACGUGACUCAAUUAGCGACAAACGUGGUUUGACCGCUAUGUUGAUAAUUUCCAUUAAAAAAUUGGAAAAGUUAUUAGGAUUGGAUUUCAAACAUUUAAUAUGUAAACCACAUCAGAAUGUAAUAAUUGCGUACUAAGUUAAUUGAGUAAAUCUAAAUCACGAAGCAUCAGUCUCUCGGAAUUCAAUAAAUAAGUUCGAGUUUACAAAUAAUUGUCGGCUGCCCGGCCACAUACCAACACCACGCAAGUUAUUUUUAAACACAAAAGAUAAUCCUAUUGUUAACAUCUGAUACUUCUAUCAAGAAGAAUGUUUUUUUUUCUAAUUACUAUAUAAAAAAGGGUUGAUUCUCUCUGCUUGUGUUGUCCCGGCUUAGCAUUAGUUUGGUAUUAUGUAUAGAAACGAUGAACAUUUUGUCCGGCCGUGGGAGAGUCAGGUUGGAUAGUAAGGGGGAGGAAUUGUACGGAGAAAAUUCUAAAUUCAAAACUUUUUACUUAUUUUAUAUAUAUAUAUAUAUAUAGCCCAAAAACGAAGUGUACAAAAGUCAUAUUAAUCUUGCAAUUUUUAAUUCUAUUAUAGUUGUAUCUUUACCUUUUUACCAAAAAAGAAAGAAAAGAAAAACGUUACUUCCUACUUCAUGCGUUGGGGAUCGCAAUUGAUUUUCUAUCCCAUUUCCUGUGUCACUUUCUGUCCCAUUUUUAUUAUAUUGCUAUUUCUCCUUCAUAAAUAUCAUGUUUUAUUUCAUUUUUUUCCCUUAAAAUCCAAUAACUAUUAACAUAGUUAAAAAUAAAUACAACAGCCUCAAAAAGCAAUAUAUAAUAGAAAAUUUAAAAAUACAGUAGAAAAAAUCUCAUUUUUUAUGCAUUUUGGUUUUUUGAAUUUGUUAAAUUUUGUGCAUUACUUAGUUAAUAGCUAUUGGAUAUUAAGGAAACAAAAAAGAAAUAAAGCAUGAUGUUUAUGAAGGAGAAAUAAUAAUAUAAUAAAAAGUGGGAUAGAGAAUGGUACAAAAAAAUGGGACAGAAGAUCCAUUGCAAGCUAAUACUAAGUAUACUAGUCAAUAAUUUAAAUAUUUGUACAACUCAUAACCUUCAUUGGUUUUUUAGCGAAAAAAAAUCUGAUUCAAUUUGGAUCAUUAUUUCUCCAAAUCUGCUAAUUAAUUGUUUAUUUACUUCUUUAUGCAGCGUGAGGCAUUAUGGCAUUUUCCUUGUAAUUUUUUUGGGAUAAAUUUCCUUGUAAUUUAGAAAACCUCAGAUUCUUUGUUUGGGAAUCAAUCAUGUAUCUAUCCUGGUGUGUGGUAUCAUAUCAGGGCUAAUCUCAUUUCUAAUUUUCUGCACAGAAAAAUCAAGUUCUAGACAUCCAUCCAAACGUUGCCAUUAAUUUUGUGAUUUUGUUCUUGACCUUUUAAAAUGAAACGUUUACAGUUUUCAACUUCCAGUCUUUUACUAGCCAUAAAAUAUGUUGGAGGCCUAGAAAUUUGAAGCUGGACCCAAAAUUAUGGCAGGCUUGUUUCUGGCUUACUUUCAACCUCUGGUUGCUGCGCAUCCUCAGAGGUUUUAGACUUAUGAGCUGCCCGCUAUGGAGUAGGUUUUCAACUUUCCUCUCUCUCUCCAAGGCCGCAAACCAAUCAAACCGCUCGCGAGCGCUCUUGAUUCGAUUUGAUCAAAACUUAAUUUGAGUUCAGUUAACAUCGAACUCGAAUCGGAUUCAAGGUCAACCGCAAAAAAACUUAACUCGUUAAAUCGCGAAUCAUUUGAAUAUAUAUAUAUAUGUAUGUAUAUAUAGAGUAAAAUUACAUAUAUAUUUUUAAUAUUUUAUUAUUUGUUAAGAAAAAAUUACUAUUUUAUUUAUUUUUAAAAUAAAAUAAUUAUUUGUUAUUUUUUUAAGCUCAAGUAGGAUCGAACUUGAAUUUGACUAAACUCGAAUUUGAGGUCGAACUCAAAUUUUACAUUGAAAGUUCGUCGAGUUCGAGUUUGAUAAAAUUGAGUCAAGACUUAACUCGAUUGAGCAAAACUUAACUCAUUUGCAACACUACCUCCUCCCCCUCUAGUGUUUUGGAAAGAGACUCCAAAAUUCAUGAGGAGAAGAAAAAAAGGGCACAAAAUUAACAUUGGAACCAAGAAUUGCAAAAUUAACCGUUAAUAUCCCUACCAGUUGAAUUGAGUUAGGCGUUAGUCAAUGAGGACACAAAAUCAACUGGAAAUCAUUGAGGAAUAGCUAUAAAUCCGCGAGCGUUUGGUAAAUAGCAAGCAGCUUUGAGGAUGGUCGAGAAAAUAUGAAGCGGACUUUAAUGUGCAUGCAAUUGUGGAAACUGGUCGCACCUUCUCAGCUACGAAUUUGAUUUCCUAAGUUCAGAAUCUAUGGAGUUUCGUUCCAAGGUUCUGCGAAUAGUCUCAAUGAGGAGAAUGCAGGCAGUAGUAGGCCAGGAUUUUUGUAGGAGCAUCAAUGGCAAGACUCAGGUAAUAGAUUUCAGUGAAUGGAAAUAAAGAAAAAGAAUUAAAGACCAUAACACAUUGUAAAAUUUCAUAGGUUAAUACUUGAACUAUGACAUUUAAGCGGUAAUCCAGUUUCAGUUUUGCUCUGGACUACACUUUCAGUUCAGUGAUUUCAAUCUAAAAUUGAAGAAAUAGAUGCUUAACAUUUAAUUUGCAUGAACUUUCUUGCUAUUAAAUUAAUUUCUGUCAGAUGCUAAUUCUACUGACAAAGCAAAAGCGAUAGAAAGGUUUAAGAGUCCAAGAAUCCAUUUAACUUCUUGCAAGACCAAAUUAUCCUCAAGUUUGACCACUUGAUGCUUAAAGUAAUUAUCAAAUCCAAUCUAGUAAUAGUCUGCAAUAUCAUAGUAUUGAAACAUGAAACCAACUUUUCCAUUUGCAAAACAGAUAGCAGGCCAAUGCCUUGUCGGAUCAUUCAAACUGCACCAACCUCAUGCUCUAUAAGUAUGCCUUUCCGUACCAAGACAAAAUUAUCAGAUGAUGGUUUUGUAGCACCUAUUUUAUCUUUAUCACUUAUUUAUAGAGAAUUUAGUCAAUCCGAGCAAACACGCCCUCGAUUUCGCUCAUUUCUCAGCAACGUUUGGCAAAAAUUUGUCAUAGCAUCAACACCAAUCAUACAGCAGAGAAAUGAGCCAUUUUAAUCUGAACAUUUUCCCUAAUCGACACAAUGCCUUGAGAUGCUAUUCAAAUAUUCCAGCCACACGUUGAAACUGUGCGUAGCUUAUUUCGUACUAGUACUUAUUGCCAAGAACUUCAAAAACCCUCCUCCAGACAACGAGAAAACAACAAUAACAGCCAAUAGCGAUGGAGGAAUAUAAAACAAAGGACCAAAAUCCAUGUUUACAAGUCAUAAUCACUCUUAACCAUAUACACUUGACAACUAGAUGAUAGCUUGCAGGGACCUAUAUAUUACAACAGUGGAGGCUAGCCACCAUAAGCAAUUUCCUGGAUGCAGACGCGUCAAGCGCAUAGAUAAUGCAUUCCAGACCCUCUAAAGAUCAGGCAGAAUGGGCACAUUCUAAAUGCGCCUAGAUAUGACUUUAAAGAAACUACCAAAUGUUGGUUGAUUUGAAAAAACACACACACAAAUUACCUCUUUCAUACUAAUAAAAAGAGCUCUUGCUGUCAAGAGGGCUUUACUGAAUCUUGUAACGAGGAAUCAGACAGUGUAACUAAGAACUUGCAUUCUAUACUGAGAGCUUAACCAACCUGAAUUUCUGCAACCUUGGAAACAUAUUCUGCACAUGCAUCACGGCCCCAAUCUGUAAGGGCCUUCGCCCAUGUAGUGGCCUUCCAUAUAGAGUGCUGUAUUCUGUGCAUGGAGGCCAUCCAUAACCAUAAAUUGCAUAUCUUCAGAAGGCUUCCAAUGUCUUUUCCUUUGGUUAAUGAACCAGUUAUUAAUCUGUUUUUGGUCCAAUCCAGUCGAUUCAGCCAAGGCCACCUUCUCUGUCUCCUGAUUUUUGUUAAACAUUCGGGAAAUAAGAACAAGAAGUGAGUAUAACUAACCUAUCCAAUAGAAUUUCCUACUCCUUUUAAGUAGACGGGAUGAUAGUAAUGUAAAAUAAGCAUACCGAAGGAUAUGGCCAUUUAUAGUGCAACUCCCACCAACUAAGAAGCUUUUGCCGAGCAUCUUUAGGAAGUUUCCCUUUCUUUUUUUUCUUGGAAAGCUCUUGCUUGAGACUGCUUAAGUAGCCACUAUACUUCCUCAACAAGUGGUUCUUUAGUUCCCGGUCUUCUGCACGUGGAUCAAUCUCAGGCAGUUCUGUUUCUCCACCACUAUUGUCUUGGUCCUCUUCAGAUGAUCCAACACCCUCACAUUUCUCAUCUGCCAAUUUCUUAGUUUAGAAAACACAGACUAGCAAAAGAGUGCAAGCGAGUGGUACUUAAUAUUCAAAAGAUGAAUGCAUAGCACAAUUGCAUAAGGUGAAAGAAGAACAGUGUAGUUGUAUUACUUUCCAAAGACAAAACAACAGUGAUAAGGGACAGUAUUUGUGUUAAAAAAUUGAAGCCUAUUCUUUGCAUUCUACACAUAUAUGCAAAAAGAGCAACUCCUUCAUUACAUACCUAGCCAACAAGAGCAAAGGAGAACUAAUUCUUUACUCAACAGAGAGAUAUACAAGUAUAACAAGAAAGGAAGUAGACAAAGAACAUUAUGCAAUUGUGUAAGAAUUUUGCAACUGGUUCAAGACACACAUAAUCCAUCACAGAAAUGACCUCUUCACUCAUAGGCACAGCUUUAAUGUCGUGUGGAAAUUCAUUAGCUAGGUUGACAAAUACGUGGUAUACAACUGCUUUUUAAACUAUGAUGCAAGAAAUAAUAAUGCCUUAUAAACCAUACCAUAAUGAUAGACGUGUACAGCACCAACACUUCUCAAAUAUGGAUUAGUAGUUUGGCUUUUAUUAUGUCUUUCUAGACUUUCAUCUUAAGUAGAUUCCUUAAGUGAUAAUAGUAGAACAAGUAAAAGGUUGAAUCUAUGCACAAGAAGAUAGCUAUAUGAAGAUAGCAGUCUCAAGCAAAUUAUACCGAAUUAGUCAAUCAAUUUCUCAAUGUAUUUGGCCAGAAUAAUUGGAAAAGAAAAAAAGGAGGGCCAUCUCGUCCUCUACCACUAUUUUUACAUAUAUAAGAGACCAAAAUUUCUACAAAUCUGAAAUUAGCUAACUAAACUCAGUGAAGAUUGUAAUUAGCUCACAUCAAUAUUAAUUCCUUCACACAAAUCACAGUAAAUAAAGUAUAAUCUCUACUUUGAUUUACUUUAAACCAUUGUGUUGCAUAUGAUAUCGAUCAUUAGACAAAGGAAAUACAAAAGAUUGAGCAAGCAUUAAGCAAACGCACCGCUAUAACCAAACUGUUAGAUUCAUGAGUAAAUAACUAUGUCCCACAUUAGUUUGAGAGACGAAAAAAGAGCGGUUAAUAUGUAAGUAAGGACUCAAAACCCAGUAGCUUCAACUUUCAGGUCAAAAUUGGGUUCUUGACUUACAUAUUGGGCUCUUUAGUGGGCUCUCUCAAGGUUUUUUUCCCUAACAAGUGGCUACCUAACAAGUGGUAUCAAAACUAUUGGUUGCGACACUAGGCUACUCGUGAGCAAGUCGAUUCUUCUCAGAGAAAAUUCUCUUCUUGGUGAUGGACCAAAGUGUCGGCAGGGGUCCAAAAUCUAGUUUGGAUGUUGAAGAAGAGUGGGUCGAUGAUUGAAAGAAGAGAUGACCUUAAGUGUUAAUGUGGAUUCGCAGAAAAGCUUGUAAACUUGGGUUCAAUGUAAAAGGUUACUCAUGAAGGGGAGAUUUGUUAAUAUGUAAGUAAGGAGCCGAAACCUAAUAGUUUAAUCUUUUGGAUCAGAGUUGGAUUCCUACUUUACAUGUUGGAUUCUUUGAAGGGUUCUUUCGACAUGUUUCUCUCUAGCACCAAGUGGGCUCUUUGAUGGGUUCUCUCGACCCAAGACCUAAUAGUUUAAGAUUUUGGGUUAGAGUUGGGAUCCUGCCUUACAUGUUGGGCUCUUUGAUGGGUUCUUUCGACGUGUUUCUGCCUAACACCAAGCGUGCUCUUUGAUAGGUUCUCUCGAGGUGUUUCUCUCUAACAUCAAGUUGGCAAGAAGAGAGCAUAUCUGUGAGUUAUCCCUUUAGAUUAAGGUCCAAUUUAGGAGGAACCCCCAUGAAACGUCAUAUCAAAUUCAACAAAAUCAUUUCAGUCAUUGUUGAAUAAUUUAGGAAAAAUAUACAGAGAAAAGUAUAGGACAUAUCAUAUUUGCUCACGUACAAUUUAUGUAAGCUACAUUUGUACUGCAUGGAUGGCACUAUUACUCAUGAUACCCAGUUAACUCUGCUUGUAGAGUCCUUUUUGAAGUUUAGUUCUUUUUAGAUUAUAAAAAAAAAUGCUGAAACAUCGUUUUUCUUCUCAAUUUCUUGCAUGUUGUAACAACUAAAUGUCGACAAUUAUUAGUGAACCAUAUGCAAUUAUGCAGUGUCAUAGAAUGUACACUACUUUCUUUCCCAUUUUCAUCAAAAGCUAAGAAUCUUGUGAGCAACGACAUCAUGUGAUAAAAUAAAAGUUUCUUCUUGAUAAACUAGAAGGGGACGACAAAGGGCCAAAAAGAAAUCACAACCAAAAAAAUGACCAUGCAAUUUAGAACAGCAAAAGAUGACUUCACAUUCACAAGACAGCAAACUAGAACGGUAGAGUAGCCAAGAUUUACAUCCAUGGGUCAAUUACAAUUGGAUGAAUGGCAACUAAUCCUGUACGCUAGAAUUCUCAAUGCCAUAAAAAUGCAAAAGCAAACUAACCAGAAACCCCAAAAUAUUAGGAAAUUUUCAGUUCAUGCAUUCAGCCUUAAAAGUACUGCUGAAGCUAAUCUACAUUGACAUAUGAUUAAAUCUCUUCUAUCAAAUCAAGCAAUGGGAGAAGAAUUUUUUUUUAAUCCGAAGAAAUAAUCUUACACGUUACUAGACUUAAGUCUUACAUUAAAUAUUGUAACAAAACCUUACCAAACACAUUCAUGGCCAAAGUAGACUGCCAUUGCACAGAUCAAAAAAAUUUAUAAUGAAGCCCUAUAAAAUAUAUAGUGGAAACAAAUCAGAUGAUCAUGGGAAGGUGUUUUUUCUGUUUGGUGGUUUGGAAUGGUUCAUUCUGUUUUUUCUGUUUGGUUUGGUUAAAUAUCAGCAAUUUUCAUAUUCCUCUAGCAUCUUAAGGGUCAAGCAAGUAAGAUUACAUUAAAAAAUUCAUUAGUACAACAAGAACAAAAAUAGUUGGAAGGAAAAUGCACCUUUACAAAUCUACUGUUCAUAAGAAAAUCAAAUGAAAACAAAGGCCAUAAAAAAUUAAACAGUAAGAAAUAAAUGUGAACAGAAAUCUGACAGUGUCCAUACAGAGCUACAUGAAGUGGCACUGAUAUGAACAGCAUCCUAUGUGCUUCAUAUUUCCAAGGCCUAAAAGGUACCCAAAACCAAAUAUAAAUUGUUCCCACCGAAAAAGCAAAGCAGAAUCGGAAAUGACAACAAUAAUUUGAUAUUUACUCGAGGUAUCUAUACACAUACACAUCACUGACCACCAGACAGAGAGAGAGAGAGAGAGAGAGAGAGAGAGAGAGAAGUGGUUGUGUAAAGGAUUAUUAGCAUUGGGAAUAAACCUCAUUAAGAAUGAUUUUGUCAGAAGACUCAGAAGCAAUACACAAAAGCUAACUGAUAAUAGAAGCAAACCCAAACGUGCGAUUUCAUCGUUCUUUUUACACUAGAAGAUCUAUUAUUUGUCUCUGAUCCCUCCUCGCAAUCUUUAUUGCCAAAAAGGAAUAACAUCACAAGUAUCUUCUUACUGUAGACUCGUGAUUAGGGUUUUUCCCACUCUAACAAAAGUCCUCCUCUCUUGCUUGGAAGAAGCAUUAGCAAAGGAUAAUGUGUUGUUAAUAUCGGUCAAACUAUCCCUGGAAAUUGGAAAAAUGGCACGGGACAGCAUUGAUUGCACAAAAAUCUGGGCAGGCCUAGCUAACAAAGUGGUAAGACCAUCAAAAGAGUUAAAGACACUCACCACAUUCGUAGUCUCUCGACAGCUGAACUAUCAGUUCCAUACUGCACAAUGAAAGUUAAACCGCACCUAUAUAUCAGACCAGCCGAGCCCCCCAGCUACUCUAUAAACAAUACUGGUGAACAUUUAUUCUCCUAAUAUCCCGUGCAAUCCCUUUGAUUUCUUUCCUUGCUAGGCUGGACGAUAAAAUGGAAACACUCGUCUUCUAUCCAUUUCAAAGACUCUAAAUUGAUGAAGAAUGAAUGAAAGUACUACCAGAGUUGAAGAUCCGGACGGGACCAUUUCCAAGCAUAUUUAGCUGUGUUUCGACUCUUCGCAUGAACUCCAUAGCUUCUUGUAACGGUCGAGUUAGCUCCUCUCGAUACUUCACCAACAUGUCAUAGUAAGCUUCCUAAAUUUCAAAUCACUGAUUAUGAGAUCAAACCCAUGAAAACCCUUUACAAAAUUUAGAGAAUAUUAUCGAAUUAAAUUAGCAAAAAGUUAAAAAUAAUGAUCACACCAUGAAUUGGUCUAGUUCUGGAUCCUUAUUAACAUCUCUACCGGUCACCAAGGAAGCGCGUUGCCUUGCUUCAAACUCCUGCCUGGCUGCCGUGAGCCGUGCAACCACCUCGGGCGGAGCUCCCACCUAAGGUAAACAAAAGUAGAAAAUCGAUUGAAAAAAUAAAUUACAAGAAUGAAUAUUGGAAUGACAUUAUUGUUUCAGUAAAGUUGUACUACCUUUUGACAAUCCAUGUAAGCUUCCAAGAGGUUAGAAUACUGAGGAUGAGCAAUAAUCUUUGCUUUUAUAGCUUCUGCUUCACCAGAAAUUUCGCUCUCUUGAUGGUGUGGUUGCUGAUGAUGAUCUUGGACAGUUUGAUGGCUCCUGAUUAUGGAAGGAUAUUGAAACUUGUGUUGUCCGUGUUGGUGAUGAGAAGAGGCUCCAGCUUCUGUUUUUACGAUGGGAUGGUCUUGGCCUUCGGAUUGCUGAUAACAUUCAGCACUUGAUUGAAGAUGAAAGCUACUGAUUGGUAACUGAUUGUUAGAGCCGCUGCUGGCUCUUGCAUACACUGAUGAGCUUGGUGCUGCUAGGACUGGGCCUCCAUACAAGAAACUUCCCCUUGGACCAGUGUUUUCUCCCAGAUGAUGAUUAUAUUCUUCCAUUUUCUCGCAGCAAAGUUUGAAGCUGAAAAUAAGCUACAAAUAUAGAGAAAACCCCCUGAACCCUGAAUCAAGAACUCAAAAAAGAGUUGGAAAAGUUAAAAACCCUAAAGAGUGAAGAAGGAACAAGUUUCUUUUUUCUUUUUACUAUCAAAUGAUAAGAAGGUUUAAUACACUCAUGAGUAGCGAGUGGAUGUUUAUAUUUGAAUUUCAGGUAAAAAGUCGAUGAUGAUCUCUUCUGUUGAGGUCAAGGAGGCCUUGAGCUGAGCUUGUUGCACUUGAACUUUACCAUCAUAAAAAGGAUCCUGAGGCACUAAUAGAAUUGUCUGUUCCAUGGUAGGGAUAAUAGUUACAUGGGUGGCAAGAGGGGGGCUGAGAAGGGACUGGCGGCGUUGGCUUUGGGGGUGGCUCUAGGCCGGAAACUGUGGAGGCCUCUGAGGCUUGAAUGAGUGACAAGACGUUGUUUGUUGUCGAAGAAUUAAAGAAAUAAAUUUUCAGGGUAUCGUACUCCUGAAUAGUAUAAAAAAGCAAAGAAGACCACAAGAUGAUAAGGAAACCAGUCGGAGUCGGAGUAGAUUUUUCCAAUUUCUUUUCUUGCGGCCUUUUUGUUCUCUUCCCUUUCCUCCCAUUACUUUAAUGGGGCUUUACAUCUUUCACCUCAGGUCUGUUUAAUUACUUCCUUUUUCUGAUUGUUCAUUCCCUCGGUCUCUCUGACUCUCUUUCCUUGAAUUAUUUUAUUGAAUUGUUUAAAAAUAAUUUUCUACCACAUGAAUUGUAGUUAAAUUCAGUGGAGGAUAAUGAAGAAUCUACCAGCAUCAUGGGGUAAACUUGAAUCGAUACUCUUAACACACGCUAUUGAUAUUAAUUGUGGAUUAAAAAAAAAGAUUAAUUGUGUGAUAGACAAACCAUAGGUAAUGUGGUUAUGAAUCUACAACCUUUGACAUAAAGUUCAAUUUGGACAUGAUUAUCAUCAUGACAUGUAGUUUUGAUCUGGUCAAAUAUUUCAACAUUAAAAAUUUUUUUAUUCUUUCCCUAAACAUAUUAUUGUUUAAUUUUUUUUAUAUUUUAUUUCAACCACAUUUCCAUUCUGUAGUAUCACAUAAAAAAAAAAGUGCUAUAUUAAAUAACAUAAAAAGAAUUUUGAAUAAUAUUCACUUUGAUUUGUGAGACAGCAAAAGAAACUUAAAAGUUUUUAUUGAUUAAAAAAACUUAAAAGUUGGAAGAUUUUACUUCUUUUUUCACUUACGUUUGAGAUAUCUAUCAGACUGUUGACAACAUUCAUGCUUUUACAGUUUUGUUUGAUCACAGCUACUUUAACAUAAGAAUAUUCUAACAUCACUAAGCACAUCUAUGUCAGAUGGAAGCCAUCACGAGCAAUUCUUAUGUUGACAACUUGUGUUUGGAUUGCAUUUUUCGUCAUUUUUUAUGGAAAAAUUACUGUAGCGAUUUGAUAUAUGUGAGGGAAAAAAGUGAUAGGAAAAUGUAAUCACGGAAAAUGAUAAUAUUUUCCGACGGAAACAAGCAAUCCAAACAAGUCCUACACCAAAGUAGCAUUCCAUUCCAUUCCAUUUAUUCCUCAAAAUUUUGUCUUUUGCAAUUUUUUUAUAACACUGACUCCAUUAUUAAAAAAUCAUGCUUAGUGUAUAAACAUUCUAGUUGGACAACCUAACUAAUUUUUGUGAAUUUUUACAAAAUUUCUAGAAAUACUUUCUUGAUAUAUUUUUUAAUUAAUUUUUUUGUUUCAUAUAUAUAUAUUAUAGUAUAGUAUAUUUUUAUGCGAAACCUCCCAAAACUCCAAUUUAUUAAGCAAGCUCUAAAACUAAUAACUUUAGAUGAGUGAAUUGAAAGGGCCAAGAUGAAGUUUGGCUUCGUCAAGUGCUUUGGGUAGUUUGUUUUACGGGGUACCUUUACGACCUUCCAUAUUACUAGGAAAAGUACCACAAAUUUUUUUUAUUUAAACAUAUAACCAAAGGUCGUAGCAAAUGUCGUCCCAAUUAGCAGCCCUUUAGAAUCUUUGAUUUUGACUUGAACCAAUUGGCAUUCCAUUUUACCGGGCCCUUGUCAAGACUCCAGACGUGUGAUGUAUCCAUUUUUCCUCCUUUGCUUUUGUCUAAACCAAAAAAAUUCAUUAUUAAAUCCAUCCAUUAACGAGGAGCAAUCUAAGGUUUAGCAAACCUCUCUAUGACUGAGUACCCUUUUAGUGUUUUAAUUAAAGAGUAAAUGAUUAACACGUUUACUUUACUCAAGUUGGAAUUUGAUUUUCUGAAAUUUAUUUCAUUCAAAUCUAUCUCUAUGUAAAUUGCAAAAGGGGUUUUUAGAAUGAUCAAGUGAUCGUGCUUCCAACUAUUUAUUAUUUCAAUAAAAUUUUGAUUUUUUUAAUUAUUAAAUAUCCCUUCAUGCCUUUUAAAUUUAAAAACUAAGAAAUGACUCCACUAAUAUAGAAAUUUUUAGUUUGAAAUUUAUUCAUCGGAGGAUAAAUAAAGAUGAAGCAUCCUAAGUCCUACUAAAAGUAAAACGGUAAAGAACAAAUAUUUUACUCUUCAACUCAGCAAUACUAAUUAAAAAGGCAAAUUAUAUAAAAAUGAAAAAAAUAAAUAAUGGUACUAUUCUUGAAACCUAAAUUAUGAAAUCACUAAAUUGAAAACAAAGUCCUACUAGCCCUUCAAGGGAAAAAAAAAUUAUUUUUGAUAAACAAAUAAUAAAAACAACACCAACCUCGCCAAAAAUAAAAAAAAUAAGUAACAAUAUAAUUUAAGAUAAAGAUCUAAAUCAAUUUGUACAUAUCUGAUUUAAAUUUGACCCAACCACUAAUAUUAACCUUCAGCAUUAAUGAUUAUUUUGUAUAUUUUUAUUAUAUUUUGCGAUUAUCGAAUGUAUUAUAAGAUAUUAUCAAUUUUUUAUUUGUACUUUCAAAUGCUAGUACUUGCAACCAUUGUGGUCAAUUCUUGGUUUUAUAUAGUUUUUAUAUUGUGAAAGGUAGAGUUAAAUAAUAUUCUAAAAAUGUUAAACCAAAUUGCGAGUUAUGCGUUUUUCUUUUCUCUUGCUUCAAAUUUCACCUUUCAAUUUAGAGGAUGAAUAGGAAUCAACUAUAAACUUUUUGACACCAUUCAGUCCAAAUUUAUAUCACAACAUUUAAACGUUGUUCUUUUAUUUUGAAGAUACAAAAGUAAGUAUAUUUUAAAAGUGUAAAAUUAAAUUGCAAGUUAUGUCAGGAUGCCAGUGGUUCUAAAAUUGUUUAAAGCCGAAAUUUUCUUUCUGGAAUUUGACGUAUCAUUAGUGUAAUUAAACACUCUAAAUCCAAAUUUGCACUGGUACGACUAUUAACAUCUAGCUCGCUGGUUGAUUCUCAUUGAAAUAAUUCAUUCGGACUGUGACAGACAACAUGCUCGAAGAAGCUUGAAGCAUCUAGAUCCUCAUCAAUCCCAACCAGAGUUUCUGUUCAUGCAACUCCAUCAUUUUAUUAUCAUUUCAUUUCUAGUGGAAUUAUCCGUCUCAUCUUGCAAGCCUAGCCUUAGCUAAAAAGACGGUUACACGCUAUUGAUCGCAAUAUCGCACUUUCAUCUCAUCGCAUUGUUUCAGAGUUUCGGAUUGGAGUAUCAACUAUCAAUCAUUUGUUUCAAGAUUUUAAAAACUAGAACCUGAUCAUGGUGUCCCCCAACGGAAACAUAUAAAAUUCGCAGCUCUCAAGUACUAAUAUUUUGGUUACGAAGUCAGUCCAAAUAUUUUUGUAUAUAAUUACAUAAGAAACCAUUUUAAAUAGUCUUUACUAAUAAUUAAAAGAAAAACAGAAUUUAGCUUCCAUACAUGUAUUUUUUGAUGUUUUUUGAACAGGGUAUAGGCGGGUCGAUUUUAAUAAUCAAUAUAGAUUGGAGUCUUCUGUUUUAUAUGAGCACUGCACAAACUCUAUACAAUCACUUGCACUAAUCAAUUUUAACGAUACAUAUGUCCUACACCCGUCUACCCGACAACCUAAUAUACAAUAAAAUGCAUCACUUUCUCGUGCCAUUCAUUCGUGUUAUUGCAAGUAAGACUGCAUACGAGUCGAGCCAUUAGCAAAUCGAUUGCAAGCAACUCAAGUUCGACCAAUAUCGACUUCGAAUCGAGUUCUAACUGAUCAGAUCAAAUUCGAAUUCAAAAAUAUUCAAUUCGUUAGCUCGCGAGUCUCUAUAAGGAAUUUCAUGAGGCCUUUAUGAGAAUUUAGAAAUCCGGCAUUUUGAUUUUUUUUAUUUUAAUAGUGAAAUUACAUAUAUAUAUUCAUAAUAUUUUAUUAUUUGUUAAGAAAAAUACUACUUUAUUCAUUUUUUGAAAUAAAAUUAAUUAUUUCUUUUAAACUUGAGUUCGACCUCAACUCAGCUUUAAUUUGAGGUUGAAUUCAAGCUCGAGAUUUACAUUAAGAGCUCGUCGAAUUCGAGAUCAAAUCCGAAUUUGGUAAAAUUAAGUUAACACUUAAUUUGAUUAAACCAAAGUUUGAUUUGACUCGAAUCAUUUGUACCCCUAAUUGCAAACAAAGUAUGGACAGGGAGUUGUAAGGUGGAGAGUAACAAUGCAAAGAAGCAAUUAAGAAAUAAGCUAAUUCUGGAGGUAGAAUUAUUUCUUAAAAUCUUUUUUUUCUUGUCAAAUAUUUAUUAUCCCAAAGGGGGUUGGUUCUAAGAUUUUCAACCCGCAAAAUAAGAUCAGAAAGAAAGAAAGAAGAGAUAUGUUACUGUGAAAGAGGACUGACUCUCGGAGGCAGUAGUGUUUUAAAAACCUUUGUCGAAGGCUUCGUCUUGAGACAGUCAUACUUGAAAUGCCCCAAGGCAAUCCAAUGCUCUCAAACGCCCCAAAUAAUAUAGAGAAGUUUGAGACUCAGAUUAAUUCGGUUUGUUGCAACGAGAAAAUGGAAAAAAAAGAAUUAUAAAACCUCACAAGUAAUACAAUGAUUAAGAAAAACCUCACAGCUUUGUGGUUUAUUAACCUAUACAUUUUACGACCUUGUUUGGAUUGUAAUUUUUUGAAGAAAAUUUUUUGCUCAUUCUAUAAAUAUUCUUUCUAUUUAUUUUUUAAUUACUUUUGUACCUCAUAUACAUCAUAUCUUUAAAAAAAUACCAAAAAAGAGUACUGCAGGAACUUCUGAAUUUUGGAAGAGUUUCAAGUUUCUUCUCAACUUUGAUCAUCAAUUUGUUGAUUAAAAUUUAUAUAAUUAGUUGAUAUUUAAUAAGUAUCGGAUUUUUAUGAAACAUCUUAUCUAAUUAUCUGCCUUUUUAAAGCCCAAAUCUCACGGUAAGUGAAAAGAAAUUGUAAGACCUAAAACGUGGUGGUACCUUGUACGUAAGUGUGAAAAGCUAGCGGUACUAUUGAAUAAGAAGUGGAGACAACCAGUGGCAAUGGGGCAUGCAAUUAUACGUGGUAUUAGUACGACAAUUUCAACGGUUAACAGUGAAAAAAGGAAAGAUCCAGACUGACCUUGGGUAUAAUUUCAAAAACCCCCUUGAGGUUUUUCAUAAUUUCAAUGACCUCCCUUAAAAUUUGAAAAAUUAUGUUGAUCUUCCCUGACAGAAUAAAGGACCCAUUUGCUAACAUCACCUAACAUGAAAUUACUCAUGUAUCCCAACACAUAAUCUGAGACUAGAAACUAAAAUUUGAGAAUUAAGUAAUUAUGGCACAAAUCAAUUAAUUAAUGGUAUUAUCUGUGUUAAUAGCAUGAACAUUAAUGUGGAAUAUACAAAAUGGCGCAAAUUUGUUAGCAAUUGGUGUCAUUUUAUGAUUGACAGAACUUGACAUGACCAUAUUUCAAUCAUAUUCAAGAAAGGCUCCAGUAGAGCAAAGGAAGUACAGAGAAAAGAAAUAAAAAAACAAGUUUUUUUUAUAGCAUUUCCCCCCUUAAUUUAGAAACCAAACAAAUAGCCUUUGUAUUAAAGUACUUUCGUGGAAAUGGCCAAGAAAUGAGGUAGAAAAAAGGCAAAAUUAGAAAUUCUUUUCUAUGCAAAAUCACAAAAAACAUAGCCUAAAUUAGGUAAAUAAUCUCUACUGUUAUCAGUUUAAUAUUUAAAAGUUAUACUUUAAAUUGAAAAUCAUGAAAUUUUUUGAGACAAUCAUAACUGUAACACACCUUGACUGAUAAUUGUUUUUGCUAAUACAUCUUGACCAGAUGCAUAAAAGGGACAUUUGUGGAACAAAAUUUCCAUCUCUCUCCCGAAAGUAAAUUUUUUUAUUAUACUAGACUAAUUUUGUUACCAAAUCAUAACCUCAAAGGAGGUUAAUGUAAUUUGUCAAACUUCAGAGAAGAUCAACGAAAUUAUUAGAAACCUCAGGGGAGAGGUUUCUGAAAUUAUCUCCAGACCUUAUUAUACAAAAAACUGUACAAGUCCUUCACUCAAACUGCUAGGAAGACCACCUCCAAACAAAAAAAAAAAAAGCGAGGAAGACCAGGGACUUCAGAUUAUCUACUCAGAUUGAAGACAUUCACGUUUGAGCUUGUUGUUUCAGAAAUGCUCAUUGUAAUAAAAAAAAAAAAAUGCUCAUUUUGUCUGGCCACCAACGAAAAUUUAGGUUGUGUUUGGAUUGCAUUUUUCGUCAUUUUUCAUGGAAAAAUUACUGUAGUGAUUUGAUAUAUGUGAGGGAAAAAGGUGAUAGGAAAAUGUGAUCACGGAAAACGACAAUAUUUUCCGACGAAAACAAGCAAUCCAAACAAGGCAUUAGUCAAGUGGAAGUAAUUUGAUAAGUAAUUAUGAUUUUGGCAUACAUCAUGAGGAGAAAUGGAUUAAUUCUCAGUGUCAAGAGUACACUUUUUGUUUGGUGUGCUUGAGACUUUGCUCGUUAAGUGUAAAGUUCAUGUAUUGAUAUCAACACUUCACUCAGUCACUGUUGAGGAUAGCCCAUGUUACAGAACAACCACGUGCGCACAGACUAAGAUCAGAGCCAGUGGCAGUAGCAAUAGUGCCAGGCUAAUAGUACUUGUUUAGUGCUAGUCCCCAGGCCCUGUUUGUUUCAAAAGAGAGACAAGAAUGACAUAUGAAGCUGGAUGACAUGCCCUCUGUGGCUCUCUCCCGGCUUUUUGAAUCAAGAAAGGAUAUAUAGCUGGCGGCGAUGACCAUUACCAAACUUUCCCCCACAAUGUUUUUCGAUCAUGGCAACAAGUACUUCCGCAUGUAGCUGCCCCCAGGUAAGGAAAGGCUGUAUCGGGUGGGGUUUUGGUACGGCAAAAAAUUUAAAUUUAGCAGCUAAGAUCCAGUCGAGUUUAUGUUAUCUGAUUAAAGCCGUAAAUUAUACUUUGAUUGCAAAUGCACAGUUUCUACAAUUUAGACUGAGACACAUCUUUGGAGGUGUAUACAGGGUACUCAUUUCACAUUAUGAUUGAUUUUUUGAAGGAAAAAUAGGUGUAUGGCUUCAUCAUGGCCAAGAGUCUAACUGUUCAAACCCAAUCUCAAAAAAUAACGAGUGACAGAGGGAGUGAGAGAGCACAAUGAGCGUCACAUAUGUUCAAUUUUUCGAUUUAUAAAGAUGCAAUAAAGACAGGAUUUUUUGUUUUGCUGGUCCUUUCUGUAGGUCCAAAUAAAACUUGGCAAAUUUCUUUUAUAAAUUUCUAAACUAGAUUUAAAAUUUUUUUUAUGCAAAAAGAAUGAAGUUGUGAAUUUUCUUGUAUUAUUGCGGCAAUUUUGGUGCAAAUUAUCCCCUACCAUCCUUUGCAAAUAUGCACGUAUUAGUGAUUUUUUAAAAUCAAUCUAUCAAGUUUAUUUGAAUUUUUUAAUCACCUAACACGAGAUUCAAACUCCCAAUGUAAAUUUUCCGAUAUUUGAUGAUUGCAUUGAGUCUCAACUUUUCCAGAAUAUUGAGCAUUAUUAGAUCUAGAGAUAAUAUCGAGCCAAAUCGAAUUCGGGUAUUAUCAUACUCAAACUCGAACUUGAUGCUCUAUUGAUAUGCUCAAGCUCGAUGAAUAUUCCAAGUCGAGAUUGAGCUUGACUCGUUACAGUUCGAAAGAUUUUCAAAUUAUACCAGACUUGAGAACUCAAAUUUAAUAAAGAGUUAUGAAAUAUAUGAUAGCUAAAUACCGUAAAAAAUAAAUCUAAAUUAGCAAAUUGGGAAAUAAGAAUAUAAGAAUUAAACAUUUAAUGAAAAACUCAAUGGAGCUCGUUGAGCCGUGGAAUCUGCAAAAUCUGUCCUCAAAUUUGAUCAAUACCAAAUUCGAGUCGAGCAAUUGACCUAACUGCUCGUGAGUUCUAGUCAAGUUGCUUCAUUAAGUAUCACUCAUAAUUGGACCUCUUUCAUAGGUGGCUCUCCUAACAUUUUAUUUUUGCAAUGGGUAAAAAACUUGGGGUACUCCUAAACUAUCGCCAUUGCAACUUUUGGUUAUUUAUCUAAAUUUUGUUUUCGAUUGAUGUUUGAACAAUUAAAACUGCAUACUUUAAGGACCUUUGAUGACUUUAGACUUAAAUAUAGCUGGAUUUAAAGGACAUUUUUGUCUAUUCAUAAUUGAAGCAUCGAGACAAGUAUAAGAAACCCUAAAAGAGGUAACUCUUCAAUUUUUUUAAGCACACCAAUAGAUUUUUCUUCAUAAAUCAUUUAAAAAUUGAGUUUUAUCCAAAGGAUUUUGAUAGUGAAACUUUUAAAUGAUUGAAAAAAACACCACAUGCAAGGCAUGGUACAAGGAUUUUUUCUUACGAACGGACACAAAUGCCCUUUAAAUCAGGUCAAAUUAUACUUAAAGUCAUCAAAAAUCCUUAAAAUAUACAGUUUUAAUUGUUUAAUGAUCAAUUAAAAAUAAAAUUUAGAUAAAAGAGUCAAAAGUGGAUAACGGCGAUAAUUUAGUGGCUCCCCACAAUUUUUACUCUUUUACUAUUCGCAGAACGCGAAUUUGAGACCUUAACAUAGCUUUAAUAAGUUGAUUCAUUGAAUAUUCAUUUUUUGGACUGAUAAAUUGAUGAGGCCCAUAUCAUUCAUGAGAUGACACGAUAAGGAGCCGAAGGGCCAAGGAGAAGGGGGACCCUACAAACUCUGAAUACGCCCGGGAUACCCGCGCUACAAACGGUUGUGGGGUGGGGUGUCCUGUGGGUUUUCCAGUGAAUUUAUUUUUAUUAUUUAGGACUGUCUAUCAAAGCAAGUUCUGUUGAAAGAGAGAUUGGACGUUUCCAACGCAGACCAACAGGUACUUCUACAACUUAUGUAGCCCCAGCCUCACUUAUGCCCACAUUCACUUGUCACUCACUGUCCGUCUGACAAAACACUAUUCCAAUCUUUCUCUCCGUAUUGUGCCUCAGUUACUGCUAAUUCUAAUCUUAGGCAGAGUGUGUAAAGAUUAAUAAAUAAAUAUAUCCAAAGUUAAUCUUAUGUGUAUUGACACAGAUGAAAGACACUUCUGUAGUGUCAAUAUAUUAAAAAUUAAUCUAAAUAUAAAUGUGCAUAUGUUUAUUAUACAAUCGUAAAAUAUAUCACAUGUUUAGCAUUUUUCAAUUUUAAUCUUCAGCAUACAAUUGUGAUAAUAUAUAAACUAUCAGUGUAUAUAAGAUUAGUUCAAAUAUAAAUAUGUACAAAAUUUAUUAUACGAUGGUAAAAUCUAUCACAUUAUUUAGCAUUUUUCAAGUUUUAAUCUUUAAUAUAUAAUGUCAUUCAUGCAAUUGUGAUAGUGUAUAGAACAUUAGCUCAAAUAUAAAUGUGUACAUAUUUAUUAUACGAUCGUAACAUUAUCUAGCAUUUUUUCAAGUUUUAAAUUAGUCUACCUUACUGCUUCCCUUUAAAUUCAUUAAUUCCUGAUCAUAACAAUCCAACGUAUAACAAAUUUAACAGCGUUUACCUUUGGUGCUAUAUGUUUCUACCGUCAUUACAGUUGAUGCAAGUAAUGCCUAAAACCUAGAUUAAAAAAAAGAAGGGAACUGAUUUUUUUCACGGAAAUUGAUAUUGCCAAGAUUAGAUUUUAUUUUCAGCAGCAAUUUCCAUUAAAAUGAUAAAUUACUCUUUUAAAGUCCAUUCGAAAACAGCAAGUUUGGCAUUUUGUCUAAAAGUUGUGUUGUUGAAUCGAAAAAUAUCAAUAACAAAACGAACCUCCAAAGUUCAAAUUAUAACAAGUCCCAUGAAAAGCAACGUGCGCAGCAGUCUCAUUUCAUUCCCAAAUUUGAUUGAUUUGAUGAUUUGACGAGACAGUAAACCCACCAAAUUCGAAAAAGAACUAAUUAAAAGAAAGCAAGAACUAAAAAGAGAAUGAAAGUGUUUGAAAAGAGAGCAUUAUCUUUAGAUUCUUUAGAAUACAUUUGAAACUGGAUACUUCUUUGUAAACUCCGCAAUACAAAUACCCAAAGUGAACAAAAGCCUUCCGCACCGCUCUCAUUUAUUUAAGUAUCCAACAACGUUCCAAAAAGUUGACGAAUCUGAUAGUACAAAUCUAGCUGACUAAUCAUCUGCCUGCACAUAUUUUCCCCAAAGUCCAUAUUCAGACUGGCAAAUCAAACUAGCGUGUGGUGUGGUCUGCCUCCAGUUUUUUUUUUUUUUUUUUUUUUUUUGUGGAAAAUCAAACCCUACGGCCGGCCGGCUACUUCUAGUUCUUGGGGAGAAUUUCCAACAAAGAUAGGCAGGAAAUCGCGUUGCUGUUAAUUUGCAUGUGCAUGCAGCAACGAAGUUAGUAGGUGGAAACUGAAAAUAAAACAGUGCGUAGUUUCUUAUCGUGACAGAGAGGCACAGCCAAACAAAUUACUUACCUAAUUUGCGUCCACAAAAUGCCACUUCAUUAGCAAUAAUCUAUCUGAUUGCAAUCAUUAUCACCUUUUACUAGUCAAGAUAAUAAAAGAGGGUUAGUCGUUAAAUUACAUUUUUUUUAUCUCAUGGGAAUGCAAUGAACCACCACCGUGGAAGAUUAUUGGCGAUACCUCCAAAAAGUCUUUUGCUGCAGCCAAGCCAUGCAAGAAUAUUCAAAUGUUUAACACAGAAUAAAGUGGAACCCUUUUUUUUAAAAAUUUUUAUUUUUUAAUCCACUGUAAUUUUUGGUCAACUCGAUUCAGUUAGAUAAUUAAACCUACCUAGUCGCAACCUUUUUAUUUAGAUAUAGUUUAAUUUUUGUCUCUUAAAUAAUGAUGGUUUAAGCGACGUGGCAAGCAGUCAUAACAGCAAGAAUCCAAGGAAAUCUAUGAUGCUGUAUUGAAGAUCAAUAAUACUAGUCUAUAAGGUAAGAGGAGCUACGUGGAUUAUCAUGGUUCAUAUGAUUAUCUUCUUCCACUAAUUAUAUAGUAAUUGACGAUAAUCCUCCUUCCAGCUGCCAAGCAUUAUUAUUACUACGUAUCAAAGCUAAAGCGAGGACAACUGUCAUUCGCUUUAAGAUAAUUUGGUGACACAGUAAUUAAGAAAGUUACAGAAUCAUAUAAGUCAGUCAAAAAAGUAGCCUUUGCCUUUGCCUAAGGAAGGAAGAUUUGUUAAUCACAUCAGGUCUUGACAGGAAAGUUUAUCGUUUGUGGAAAAAAUUGGCUCCAAAAGUAAGAAUUAAAAUGUUUUAUCUUCCUGUUUGUUACACAGUUAGGACCAGUAAUUUCAAGACAUUCACCAUCAAUUUGUUGCUGCCCCCUUAGUCAACAGAAAAUUGAGGGGUCAGUCCUCGUGGUAUAGAAUCACAUAUAUUAUUGAAAUCUAUUUUGUGCAUUAUAUCUAUCUGUCUAUCUUCUGCAGUGCAGUUCGUUCCUUCUUCUUCUUCUUUUUAUUUUUUUUUUCUUGACAAAAUUCAUCAUGUUUAUCUUCUUCUUCUGCAGCUAUAUGUUACAUAAGAGCAAAGAAUUAUUGUCUUAUUUCGAACUGAGGUUAUUAAUUUCAAUUAAUUUUUUAUAUAUCGACAGUGUAUAAUUACUGAACAUAAAUGCAUGUUAUAUACACACAAAAUCAAAAUUCAAAUUAGAAUUAAAUGACACGCAAUCAAUCGUGCAUUGUAUAUAUAUAUAUAUAUACAAAGAUUAACCUGAUUAUCAAUGCAUCGACCUCUGUGGAUGUUGAGUGACGUGAGGCACCCACAAUUUGACUUUCUUGGGAGCAGGUCAUGGCAAGAGAUCGGAUCCUCAAAAUGAUCCUAUCCUCUCAUCCCAGAGAAAUUCGUGGUUUGGAUGGAUGAACUGAAUCCCGAGUAUCCUUUAUUAAAUAUACGAAUCUUUGUGAAAUGAAGCAAAAGCUUAAGCAAUGAUUCUUUUGGAACUGCAUGAAAAUCUUUGUAAACUCAAGGCAACCAAUUGGGCAUGCAGUGUGCUGAAUGAAACAAGGAUCACGAAGAAAUUGAAUUAGAUGAGAUUAUAUUAUUACUACUAAUCCAUAAUGCUCCACUUAACUUUUUGAUAAUCUGUUCGCCAUCCAACUCAACACUUGGAAAGUGCGUAAUUAGAACCAAUUGGCCCUAAUGACGGCCAAUAUCUCAACCAAGAGAAUCUUAAUAAGUAGCGUUGUAUGAUUUAAAUAUACAAAUUGAGUCAUAUUUUAAGUACAUAUAGACACUUAGUCCGACGAAGAAUUGUCUGGCUUUUCCCCCAAUUCCAAGUCAUGGUAACAGUAGUGUAGAUUAUUUUUGGCCAAUGACUUUUAGAUGUCAAUUCUUGUACUAAGUGUGAUGUGCCUCAAAUUUUAUUUUAUUUACCAUAAUUUUUUUUUUAAAAAAAUAAUGUUGGUAUGUCGCAAAGCAAGUUAAAGGGGAUGGUAAUCUACUUUUUUGUCCUUUUUCGGUUUUAUUACAAUAUUCUUUUGUUUAAAAAAAUGUCAAAUAUCAUAGCCUCAAAUGGAAUGUUUACACGUGAAAUUGAUGGACUGAUGUUCAAAGAUUAUCUUGAAGGCGGUGCACCUGAUUGGAAUGUCAGUCCCCCGAUGAUUCGAUAUUCAAUUUCACAUCAUAAUAUUUGAUCUCUUUUUUUUUUUUUCACUUGGGAUACGGUGUUGACACUUGACAUCCUACUCCCAUUGAAUUUCCUUGAUCCAUUCGAAAAAGAAAGAAGUUUCAUUGAUCCAAAUUGAGAAAACAAAAGGCUUUCAUUGAGUCAAAAGUUGUUAGGUUCUACGUGACAGCGUUUGUCUUGAUUCUUAAAUUUUUCUCUUCAUCCGGCAUCUGUAAUCUCAAGUUAAAAGUAUUAAAACUGGUGUCAGUCAAGUCAAGUGGUUCCAAAAUUGGAAGCUGAUAAAAUUCAACCUCUGUUUCCAGCAUCAACAAAAAUAUUACUACGUACCAGGUAUAGCGGUGCAAUGGUAUCACUACCGAGAGAGAGCUAAAGCAGCUGUAUACUACCAUCCACCACUACUUGCUAGACCCUGGAAUUGCAUGCUGAUAACUAAGAAAAAUCCCUUUUGUUUUGUUUUUAUGAGAGAUUCUUAUUUUUUUUUUUAUAUAAAAAAAAAAACAAUGGGCAAUAAAAGAGUGUAAAGAAUGAAAUCAAAGAUUCUGCAAUCACCUUAUUAAUUAAUAUCCUACCAAGUAAGUAAUAUAAAGCAAGUCGAUCUUUAGUCUACUACUCGGUAAACAAUUAUUGGAAGCCCCUUUCUAAGGUUGAUAUUGGCGGUGACUUAUGCAGCAUGGUUUAUUGGUUGAUUGUUCAGCCUGCAUCCACUCCCAAAGCCCCACGAGGCCAUGAAUGAUCAGACUUUUUUUUUUUUUUUUGAUAAUAAUAAUAUGACUGAUCAGACUUGUUGAGAGGGUAUCCUAGUCCUAGUAUAUAUCUAACAUGGGCAAAAGAGCAGUAGUAGGUGUUAGAAACUAACUGUUAAUGAAUGAAUGCUGCAUGGAAAGUUAUACUAUAAUUUAUUAGUAAUCACACAUCUGUGUCAUAUCAUACGCUAACAGUAGUAGAUAGAAAUACUGCGCAUCCAACCCAAUGGCAAAAGGCAGAGUGUUGGAGAAGGAGGGACGCAUGGUCUGAGACCAGAGAAAUCUGAGAUUGGUUGGAGGGGUUUUAAAAGGAGGGACCCAAAUGAAGGGUGUCGUAUGGUUCAGGGCGCGCGAAAACAGCGCGGGAGCUGUUUCCCGAUGCGCAGAACAUAGACACAUCAUUCAUCAUCCUCCUCCUCCUCCUCCUCCUCACGCUCAAUACUCACUCACUGUCCUUUUAACUUUGUCAUCAGUCACCACCACCACUCUUAUGAGUCUUAUCUCUCUGUUUCUCUCUCUCUCUCUUACACACACACACAGAGAUUUGUGUGAACCAGUUUCAUUUUGCGCCCCUGAACUUGUAUCACAUUUUUAUUUCGCACUCUAUAUUUUAGAUAAUUUAUGUUCCGACUUCUUAGAUUUAUCCCACUCAAAUCCAACUGAUAAUAUCAGCAGUAUUAAUUGUUAGCAAACUAGAGGACCGUACAAAUGUAUGAUAAUAAUUUUUUAAAAGUGAUCAGAAUGAGCAAAAGGAUCACAACUAGAACAAAAUGAUGAAUUGUAAUAUGUAUACAGCACAAGCUUAGAGGUGCGAAGUGAUCUUUAUUCCUGUGUAUGUAUUUUUUUAUCCAAAGAAGACUCCAAACUUUGACGUAGAGAAGAGGGAAAGGGAAAUGUUUGAGGGUCCAAUGAGAAGUCUCGAGUCCUCCUGAUUAAUGUCUCUUUAAGUUGAGUCUUGAGAACAGAUGUACAUACCAUCUCUAGUAUUUAUUCUUUUAUUUUAAACUUUUUGAGAUAUUAUUGAUUCUAUAUUUGUAUAUAAUGGAUUCCAUCUCCGUCGUCCCAACCAAUAACACAUUAAUUAACUCGAAUCUUCCUUUGAUUCUUCAUACAUAUAUUCUUUUACUCAUUUGAUUACAACUCUCAUGUGAAAUACAAGGGAAGUAACUAAGUUGCUUAAUCAAUUAGGAAUCGUUUCACAAUUAACUAAAAUCAAGCUUGGUAUGUUGCUGAAUAAUUUCAUCGGGAUACUAAAAUGUUAGUGUAACCUAUCUAAGUUGACAUGCAUAAACGUACUACUUCCCUCAAUUAUAAAAUACAAAUCUACGCAUGCCCGUAAUUCUAUUGACAACAGAGUUCACGUGAAAUCUCUUUUUCCCCCCUUUUCAAGAAGAUUUCAAGCUUUACAUGAAAAAGAAAAGUUUGAUAAUCGAACCAAAAACAUCAUGAUCAUUUGAUUAAUGUCUCUGUCAAUUGAAUUGAGUACUCAAAUGUGAAAAUUAUAAAUUAUACUAAAAAAAUAAAAUUUGGUGGGCUUAUCAAUAAAAGUACGUAACUUUUAUUAAUCCAAUAGGACACAUGAAAAUUUAUUUAUUUAUUUAAAAAAAAAACUAAAAGUAUAUAACUUUAAUUAAUAUCCAAUAGGAGUUGUGAAAAUUAAAAACUUUUGAUCCAAGCCAGUUGGUGCUAGUGCGGAGGAGGUCCGGCAGGCAAGGAUGCCAUGUAGCCAUGUGAGAGUAGGGUCAGAGGAACCAGGGUACAAGAGACACGGAUGAGACUGUGCCUGGACAAGGUAAAAUGGGGUCCUAUCAUACCAGCAGAUGGUGGGAGUCUAUCAAUGGAUGUGAUUUGUAGGUCCUUCCCAUGUCUUUCUCAGGAGUCCAUGGGACCCUUGCAAAUUGCAAAGGUGUCAAAUGAUUGUUGAUAACAAUAUAACAUAAUAUGCUCCGUGUGGGGAACUUAGGCUGGAGAUCCAACUCUGUCCAUCUCCCCAUUUCCCAUACUGUUUUUAGUUAAAUCCUUAAUAAUACCUUUGCUUUUUGGAGCUGCUUAAUCACUCAUCACAUUUGUCCCAAUACUAUAUUUUGCAGCCUCCAAACGCCAUCAGAUCAUGAUUGUAAAAAAUACUAGCUGUUAGCAAUUAAGAAGGCAGUGUUAAUUGAUUCGCCAUGAAGCUCUCUUACUUGAUCACAGUAGUUCAGCCUUUAAGGGGACUGAUUAGAUGGAUAGCUUCUUCGGUCCGUUUAUUUUUAAACCACGUCUUUGGACCACCUAAACCCAAGCAGAAUCUUCAGAUAAUCAGACCACAAGCGUCUAAUCUUGCUCGCUCAUUUGUGUACUGUCACUAGAUACUAAGAUGGUCGACAAACAAAUGCCGCUGUUCACACCUUCGAAGCAUAUGAUUUGUACAAGUUCAUGGUGUAAUUAUUGAACGACGCUACUGUACAGCUAGUUUCUUGAAUUUUCGAGCUAAGUUUUUAAGUGGUGCACCCUCGCAUUAUUAUAUCCACGAUUUGACCAAACGCUCAGAAGAAAGCAUAUUCUAGAGAUUACAUUACACACCCUUCUUACAUUAAUCACGAAUAAACUAAACCCCAUCUUUGACGUGUUCUAAUGAAGUCAUAUUGUGGAUUAUAAGGUUUCGGGUCAGUUUGGUAAUCCUUCAUCUGACCUGAACUGGCUAGAAUGUUGGCAGAUAUGACCCUUCUCCCCAUACAGUCCAAGUAUUUUUCCUAUACAGCAAGAAAAUUUUGUUAAGCCUCAUGCAUGGAUCAAGUAUUCGGUGGAGAUCAGGAGAUGACGCUACAAUUAGAUAUAUGAUUAAUGAGACGUUCGGCAAAUUCUGGGCCUGAGCUUUGUGGCCCUAGUCCCAUGUUUGUAAUGAAUUCUUGCAAAUGUUGUAAGCAUCAACCAUCCAUCGCUUUCAACUUUCAAGACAAUUUCAGGAUAGUUAUGUCUCCAUCAUAGAGAAAUACUGCACUUCUUGGCCCAACAGACGCCCAUAAUCAUUAUAUAGGAGAACGGGUUACAUGGAUUGGAGGACACUGCCAAUAUCUUUAUCCAAGGUUUCCUUUCGGUUAUGUACUGGACCAGGUCCAGGGUCGGAACAAUACCUCCUGCAACAAAAUAAUUAAGCUGAAGGUAUAGCCUGCUCCAGCAAAAAUGUAUUAGCUUAACCUGUCAAUACCAUUUACUAUUAACCAACAGAAAUUCCACAGUUAGCACUUAAUGAGGUGGCUUCUGCUGUUCCUGGUACUUUGAGAGCCAUGAAAACAUAUUGCAGCGUUGAGGAUGGAUUUAAGAUUUAGUCUCUUAAAAUGAUUCUUGAUUAGGCAGGAGAUGUUCUUCUUUACAACAGGCACGCGAUUCUGGCAAAAUGUGACCCCCAGAUCCUUGCCUAGUCUACUUGAUAUUCUCGACGAGAACUAGCUAAGUAAUUUUGAUGGAAUGAAACUGUGAUCGUGCUAAAAAAGAAAGAGGAAAAGAUAGAUCUUUACUCAUUUAUUUGACUGUAAAAAGUAGGAACAGAAGCAACAUGUCAAACCUUUGCAAAAGGAACAUUUACAACCAUUUACAGACAGCAAGACCACCACCACAUUUUUGUACUUUACACCACAGUAUUACAGUAUUACAAACACAAGCAGUCGUUAUCUUAAUUGUCUGAAUUAGUAAACUAUAGGUCUAUGGAUAUUAUCAGCGGUUCCUCGCCCUUGUCAACAGC
rnacentral:lncRNA from 1 species